UAGGCGGGAGCCUAUGAAGCGGCGGCGCCAGCUGUCGUGGAGGCACCCUUGAAAUACCGCCCUUCCCCUUAUCGAUAUCUAACCGCGGCCCGUUAUCCGGGUCCGGGACCCUGCAUGGCGGGUAGUUUGACUGGGGCGGUCGCCUCCCAAAUGGUAACGGAGGCGCGCGAUGGUGGGCUCAAGCUGGUCGGACAUCAGCUGACGAGUGCAAUGGCAUAAGCCCGCCUGACUGUGAGACUGACAAGUCGAGCAGAGACGAAAGUCGGCCAUAGUGAUCCGGUGGUCCCUCG
rnacentral:ncRNA from 1 species